rnacentral:misc_RNA from 1 species
ACAUGGUUGCAGUUACACUGCGACAGUGACACUGGCGGUCUCUGGUUCUUCAAAUACUGCCCGAAAGUGUUCCAAUCCCGCCGUUUCUGUGACUCGUAACGGCUCAACGGAGCCGGUUGAGGAAUUAGCUGCUGCUGCUGAUGAUCACCACCGGAUCGCGAGGACCCUUCCGCAGAAUCUUUAGGUCUGUCACCUGACAUGAUUAAAUUUUUUUUUUUUCU